UGAUCUUCUCGUUCAAGACACCAGAACGGUGCAGCUCCUGGUGGACAGCAAGUCCGCCCUGGCCCUGGCAAAGAACCCCGUGUUCCACGAACGGAGCAAGCACAUCCGACUGAGGUAUCACUUCAUCCGCAGCUGUGUGGAAGAAGGGAGCAUUGAGGCGAGCUACAUCAACACCACGGAUCAGCUCGCAGACCUGCUCACCAAGCCUCUUGGGAGGGUCAAGUUCCUCGAACUUUGCUCCAGGAUUGGGAUGAUUCAACUCUCCCACAAGACGACGUACAAGACUUAGGGGGAGAAUGAUGGAUAAGUCUGUGUACUAGGGUCGUUGUGGGGCUGCAGCACAUGGUCCUUGUGGCAGUUAGGAUAGAGUUCCUGACCAUCAAGGACUGUCAGUUAGGAUAGCAUCUUAGACUGGCAUCUUAGACUAGCAUCUUGGACUGGCAUCUUAGCAGCAUCUCAGCAUAUGCUUGGCUGGCUAGCAGCCUAUAAGUAUGUAACCCCAACCCCUCAGGUUGGCAUGGCAUUGUGCGAGAAAUAAACCAACGAAAAUUGUCCCAACUCUCCUAGCGUCAUCCACAACUAUCAAUGCUUAGGUUCAAAGGUCUAACAGUGGACCAGCUUUGCUCUGAGAAUGUCGCUGCAAAAACCAAAACAAAACUUGCUCUGAAUAUGGUCAAGAGACCUGAGAGACAAAAACAAACAGCAAUAAAUCACAGCAGUUGUCUUCAUUGUAUUUCUUGCAGUAGAUGUGGUCCAUUUGCUACCACCAAAUACCUGCAUCUUACACUUCUGUAAACGUAGAGUUUUUUACUCCGCAAUGACCAUUUCACAUUCAGCAUUUGAAUUUCAACAUUGCAAUCUGCGAACCUCUUAUGUAAACUUCUUGUGUAGAUGUGGUCCAAUUGCUAUCACCAAUAUCUCCAGCUUACACUUCUGUAAAUCGUAGACUUUCUUUUUACUCUGCAGCGAUUCCUCCACAUCCAGCACAGAGCAUUUGAAAAUGAAAAUUACAUUAGCAUCUGCAAAUGUCUUACUGUGUUUUGCUCUUGUUUACAGGGUUCCACCAAUGCAGCCCACGAGAUGAAUAUAUGAGUAUAUGAGCUACUGUAUGUUUUAGUAGAUAUAUACAAAUCAAUGUGAAUUCUGAACUGAGCGACCCAUGAGUUCAUCCAUACAAAUAUGUGAAUUCUGAACUGAGCGACCCAUGAGUUCAUCCAUACAAAUAUUCAUCUCGACAGUCCACUGUUUUCUACAGUAGUAGUUAUUUUAGUUUUCACACAUCGGUUAUUCUGAAUUCCCAGUCACAGGUAACUGCCAAACCGCACAACUUAAUUUUACACUACUGGAAAAGGGUGCAAGUUAUGAUUCCUUUGCUGAAGCCUGCAUGUCUCUAUCUAAAUUGUUUGUCAUGAGUUUUCUGACUUUAAUCGAUCGCAGCAGCUGGAAGAUGGAGCCUGAUCAGAGUGGCACCGGGCAGACUUCUCCCCGUGGGAAUGACUGAGAGGUCGUGCAGCUCACCGCGUGGCCUGCCUAGGGUUUCUGGUGGCUACACGCCGGCCAUGGGUCUCCGAACACCAUGAAGGCGACGGUGCUGAUUCGAUUUGAUCCUCAAGGCCACCCAUGGAUCUUGCUGCAGGAGGUGUGUUUUGGAGAACCAACCUGAGAUGCAGGAGGUGGGUUCUUGGGCCGUGCUCUGCUCGAGGAUGAGGGCCAUGAGGGGUUUGCUCCUCUGCCCCUAGGGCGACCAAGAGGUCCUGCCCCGAGCUCAAGCACGUCCACGCCGACCCACGACAACACGUCCAUAACAGCUCGCUCAAUCAGUAUUGGCUGUGACGUCGACGGAGAACUAAACCUUGCUGCCACACUCUGCAACAUCAACAGGUGCCUUCGUUCGGACUCUACGGACAUACCCGAAAAUGGUGUUCCCUCUCAUUUACAGGAGCUCUAGUCUGGAAGUGAAGUAGGAAGUAUAUUUGAAGUUCAAGGCCGUGUAGCAAAUAGUUGUAUGUUUUGUCUAUGUGUAAUAGACUGUACAUAUUGUAAUAGACUAUGUACAGAUUAUAGUAGACUAAUUUAGUGUUCUUUGAUGAACUGCAUUUGUUAUGUUCUGUUUGAAAUAAUGAUUAUGUGAUUUGAAAAAAUCAGUGAAAUGGAAACCCGGCUCGUGGGACCAACUUAUGAAAAUAAUCUGAGCAAUUUUGAAA